rnacentral:rRNA from 1 species
UACGGAGGGGGCUAGCGUUGUUCGGAAUUACUGGGCGUAAAGCGCGCGUAGGCGGCUUAGCAAGUCAGGGGUGAAAUCCCGGGGCUCAACCCCGGAACUGCCCUUGAAACUGCUUCGCUAGAAUACUGGAGAGGUGAGUGGAAUUCCGAGUGUAGAGGUGAAAUUCGUAGAUAUUCGGAAGAACACCAGUGGCGAAGGAGACUCAAGGGACAGUUAUUGACGAUGAGGUGCGAAAGCGUGGGGAGCAAACAGG